rnacentral:misc_RNA from 1 species
GAAAUGCGAUAAGUAGUGUGAAUUGCAGAAUUCAGUGAAUCAUCGAAUCUUUGAACGCACAUUGCGCCCCUCGGUAUUCCGUGGGGCAUGCCUGUUCGAGCGUCAUCUACACCCUCAAGCUCUGCUUGGUGUUGGGCGUCUGUCCCGCCUCCGCGCGCGGACUCGCCCCAAAUGCAUUGGCAGCGGUUCCUUGCCCCCCUCUUUGCGCAGCACAUUGCCAUUCGAGGCGGCGGCGGCCCGCGUCCAACAAGCUCAACCCCCCCGUCUUUGACCUCGGUUCAGGUAGGGAUACCCGCUGAACUUAAGC